GGCUCAACCCGUACUGGCUCUGGAAACUGAUCAGCUAGAGAACAGAAGAGGACGGCGGAACUCCAUGUGUAGCGGUAAAAUGCGUAGAUAUAUGGAAGAACACCGGUGGCGAAGGCGGCCGUCUGGUCUGGAUUCUGACACUGAAGCACGAAAGCGUGGGGAGCAAAUAGGAUUAGAUACCCUAGUAGUCCACGCCGUAAACGAUGAGA
rnacentral:rRNA from 1 species